AGUCGAGGGGUAUAGUUCUUCGGAGCUAGAGACCGGCGCACGGGUGCGUAACGCGUAUGCAAUCUGCCUUUCACAGAGGGAUAGCCCAGAGAAAUUUGGAUUAAUACCUCAUAGUAUUAUGGAAGGGCAUCCUUUUAUAAUUAAAGUCACAACGGUGAAAGAUGAGCAUGCGUCCCAUUAGCUAGUUGGUAAGGUAACGGCUUACCAAGGCAACGAUGGGUAGGGGUCCUGAGAGGGAGAUCCCCCACACUGGUACUGAGACACGGACCAGACUCCUACGGGAGGCAGCAGUGAGGAAUAUUGGUCAAUGGGCGCAAGCCUGAACCAGCCAUGCCGCGUGCAGGAUGACGGUCCUAUGGAUUGUAAACUGCCUUUGUACGAGAAGAAACACUGAUUCGUGAAUCAGCUUGACGGUAUCGUAAGAAUAAGGAUCGGCUAACUCCGUGCCAGCAGCCGCGGUAAUACGGAGGAUCCAAGCGUUAUCCGGAAUCAUUGGGUUUAAAGGGUCCGUAGGCGGUUUAGUAAGUCAGUGGUGAAAGCCCAUCGCUCAACGGUGGAACGGCCAUUGAUACUGCUGAACUUGAAUUAUUAGGAAGUAACUAGAAUAUGUAGUGUAGCGGUGAAAUGCUUAGAUAUUACAUGGAAUACCAAUUGCGAAGGCAGGUUACUACUAAUGGAUUGACGCUGAUGGACGAAAGCGUGGGGAGCGAACAGGAUUAGAUACCCUGGUAGUCCACGCCGUAAACGAUGGAUACUAGCUGUUGGAAGCAUUUCAGUGGCUAAGCGAAAGUGAUAAGUAUCCCACCUGGGGAGUACGAACG
rnacentral:rRNA from 1 species